CACGUAGGGGGCGAGCGUUGUCCGGAAUCAUUGGGCGUAAAGGGCGCGUAGGCGGCCUUCUAAGUCGAACGUGAAAUCCCUGGGCUCAACCCAGGAACUGCGUCCGAUACUGGAAGGCUUGAAUCCGGGAGAGGGAUGCGGAAUUCCAGGUGUAGCGGUGAAAUGCGUAGAUAUCUGGAGGAACACCGGUGGCGAAGGCGGCAUCCUGGACCGGUAUUGACGCUGAGGCGCGAAAGCCAGGGGAGCAAACGGG
rnacentral:rRNA from 1 species